CUGUACUUCUUACAAUUGCGAUGGGGGGACGGAGAAGGCUAGGUGGGCCUGGCGACGGUUGUCCAGGUUCAAGUACGUAGGCGGGUGGUUUAGGUAAAUCCGGACCGCUACUAACGCUGAGAUACGAUGUCGAGCUACUACGGUAGUGAAGUCAUUGAUGCCAUGCUUCCAGGAAAAGCCUCUAAGCUUCAGAUUGUAAGGAAUCGUACCCCAAACCGACACAGGUGGUCGGGUAGAGAAUACCAAGGCGCUUGAGAGAACUCGGGUGAAGGAACUAGGCAAAAUGGUACCGUAACUUCGGGAGAAGGUACGCUCUUAUCAGUGAAGUCCCUUGCGGAUGGAGCAGACGAGAGUCGCAGAUACCAGGUGGCUGCAACUGUUUAUUAAAAACACAGCACUGUGCAAAAUCGUAAGAUGACGUAUACGGUGUGACGCCUGCCCGGUGCCGGAAGGUUAAUUGAUGGGGUUAGACUUCGGUCGAAGCUCUUGAUCGAAGCCCCGGUAAACGGCGGCCGUAACUAUAACGGUCCUAAGGUAGCGAAAUUCCUUGUCGGGUAAGUUCCGACCUGCACGAAUGGCGUAAUGAUGGCCACGCUGUCUCCACCCGAGACUCAGUGAAAUUGAAAUCGCUGUGAAGAUGCAGUGUACCCGCGGCUAGACGGAAAGACCCCGUGAACCUUUACUACAGCUUGGCACUGAACAUUGAACCUACAUGUGUAGGAUAGGUGGGAGACUUUGAAACCGCGUCGCUAGAUGUGGUGGAGUCGUCCUUGAAAUACCACCCUUGUAGUUUUGAUGUUCUAACGUUGGUCCCUGAAUCGGGAUUACGGACAGUGCCUGGUGGGUAGUUUGACUGGGGCGGUCUCCUCCCAAAGAGUAACGGAGGAGCACGAAGGUGGGCUAAACACGGUUGGACAUCGUGUGGUUAGUGCAAUGGCAUAAGCCCGCUUGACUGCGAGAAUGACAAUUCGAGCAGGUGCGAAAGCAGGUCAUAGUGAUCCGGUGGUUCUGAAUGGAAGGGCCAUCGCUCAACGGAUAAAAGGUACUCCGGGGAUAACAGGCUGAUACCGCCCAAGAGUUCAUAUCGACGGCGGUGUUUGGCACCUCGAUGUCGGCUCAUCACAUCCUGGGGCUGAAGUCGGUCCCAAGGGUAUGGCUGUUCGCCAUUUAAAGUGGUACGCGAGCUGGGUUUAGAACGUCGUGAGACAGUUCGGUCCCUAUCUGCCGUGGGCGUUGGAAAAUUGAAAGGGGCUGCUCCUAGUACGAGAGGACCGGAGUGGACGAACCUCUGGUGUUCGGGUUGUCAUGCCAAUGGCAUUGCCCGGUAGCUAAGUUCGGAAUCGAUAACCGCUGAAAGCAUCUAAGCGGGAAGCGAGCCUUGAGAUGAGUUUUCCCUG
rnacentral:rRNA from 1 species